rnacentral:ncRNA from 2 species
GAAGCGCCAUGUGGCGAUUUGUUACCGGAUUGCGGGCCACGUUAAACAUUCCGCUAAAGAGGUCAGGAUGGAAGAGCC